CUCUCUCUCUCUCUCUCUCUCUCUCGGAUUGUAGCUUAAUAUUUCUCGAUCUGUCACUGUCAUGGAGUCCAUUUCUCGCCCUUUUCUCUUUGAUUUUCUUUCCGUUGGCUACCAAAAAUGUUUAAUAACUAGUUAAUUAUGAUUGUAAUCAAGGGAUUUUCGAUUUUGGGGUUUGUAAUAACCAGUUUAGGCUGUUUUUCCAACCUAAUUUAGUGGUUUGAGUACUGCGGUGCAUGUGUGGUUCCUCAUGUGGAAAAGCCAAACUCAGUUGCAAAACUGAUUCUAGAAUAUGUUUAGGAAGAUUGCUAUAAAGAGAUGGAAUGUGUUCGUUCACCAACAUUGAAGCUUCACUCUCAGUCUAUGCAUAAAUGACACAGAGAUGGCUGCAUUGUACACCAUAUUCAAGAUUUGGUAAUGUAAUUCUGGAAUGAGCUAAUUUAAGGGCCAUUUGGUAGAGUUAUUUUUUAAGUUUGAACAAUCUUUGUAUUAAUUUUCAUUUCGUUUUAUGGUUUGGUAAUCAUCUUUGUAUAAACUGCUGGUUCUAGAAACUUGUUUGCCAUUGAUAUAUAGAAGUUGUCAGUCAUUACUCUUUAUGUUUUACCGAAGGACUUCUAAGCAGUUUAACCCUUUGUUUACAGGAAAUUUAUAUGGAUUUUGUGAGUUUGUAGAUUGAAGAGAAUGUUUGAUUGAAGCACAAACCUGCUUACUUUGGCCCCUGAACUUCACAUAUCUAGUCAAAUUAUUAGAAGAGCAGUUAUAGUUGAGACUAAUACUGCUGUUGUUGUUGUUAUAAAUUAAUUGUUGGAGUAAUUUGAAGGCAAUUCGUCACCUUAUAUGAACAACAUGGUGUUCACAAAAAUAGGUCCUGCACAAAGAACAAAAAUGGGUGAUCUACUUGAUGAUUUCUAUGAUUUCAAAGAAAAUAGAAGAGAUAUCCAAAUAUUAAAGGAGUUGUAAGUGAAGCAUAGAGAUUGUGAAGUAUGGGGUUGUGUUGGUUGUUCUAUGUGGAGUUUAGUUGGACUUUUGUAUUGAGUAUGUGUGUUGUAGGUAUUGCCAAGAGGCUUAUAUAUUGAGUAAAGUAUUUUAAGUGUUGGAUGGACAGAUUUUAUGCAUUUUGAAAGUAAUAUGAGGUUUAUAUGAUCAUAAUUUGUGUAAUGGGUUUAGUUUAUGGGCGCAUAUUUAUUUAGUUGAAGAGUUGGUAAGAUUUUAUUUAAAUGCAAUGGUUUAUGAAUUUGAAUGUACAUGAGAACCAUGAAGUCCAACAAUUGGACAGAUUUUUGCAUAAAUAUGUUGGGUAUGAUAAAUUAUAUGGAAGUGAUGUAUGGAUUGAGUAUGCAUGUUUGUGUGAAAGAAGCUUAUUAGUCUUUGUGAAUUGUAAUUGUGUUGGAUUGAUGUAUAUGUGCAACAAGUAUGCUAGUAUCUUUUAUGAAUUUAAGUUGUGUAUAUGGAAGAUUGGAGUGGAAUGAUAGGAAUUGGUACUAGAUAUUGAAGUGAUGUUGGUUGGGAUUUAGUUGUAGGCUUGUGAGAUCAGUUUAUUUUCUUUUUCCUCAGAAAAUAAAGGUUUAAAUGUUAAAGAACUGUGUGAGAUCAAUUCUGGCUGGGUUCUGCUUCCAUAGUUACCAGUGGGCGUUUCUCAAGUUGAGAUAUGAGAUCACCAAGGUUGAACGCAUCUUUGUGGUGGGGAACUCUGGCAAACAUUUUGAGAUAAUUCUAGUUAAGUGUCUUGGAUUACUCGUUUAAUUCCAGCAUGUUUAUAGCUGAUUUUAGGAAACCACACACAAGUGCACAUUUUGAGAUAAUUUUCUUGGAGUGUUUGCCAAGAACCACACAAAACACAACAAUGGAGAUUCGUACGUGUGAUGUGAGACAAAUUUAGCUACUGGAGAUUCCAGUAAUAGAAACAAGAUUUAAAAUUAACGGCAAUUACGGUUUGAAAUGUUAAUGUUAACGGUCUGAUCUUUUCACCAGUGGCAAAUUAGCAAAUAGUUCUCGUUAAUUGUGCUUACCUCAUCAACUGUACUAUUUAAUUCCCAAAUGACAUUAUGCUACUAUAAGUUUAGCUGUGUGUAUAUGUUGGAGAACUAGGUACCUUGUGCAGUUUCUAAUAUAUAAUGAUAUGCAGUUCAGUAUAUAUAAUGAUGUACUAUGGUGAUAUCAAUCUCUAGUUUCCAAGUGCUUAAAUUUACAUUCCCAUAUUCUAUGUACUGUGGUGACUACAAAAAGUGCAUCUUGAUUCAACUAGUUAAUAAAUAGUUGAAAAUAUAUAAUCACAAAAAUUAAGGAACAACACCUUAGAUCUUCCACAUUAAUAUAAAAAUCAUAUCAUCCACAAAUUUUUUCUUUUAUAUGACCAGAAUAUGGGUGGAAUGGAAUGAUUCUUUAAAGGAUCUUUUUCCCAAUUUUGUAGCUUUGAGAUCAAUGAAGGAGGUUUCUUUUGGUUUAUAAUAUGACUUACAUGCAUGCACCCAUUUUCUUUUGGUUUAUAAUAGUUUUUAGGUUUCCUAAUUUUGUAGUUGCAAUUUAAAUUUCUAUUGGGUUUUGGAAACUAAAGAAAAAUUUGUGAAUCUAAAUUUUUGCAGCUUUGAGAUCAAUGAAGGAGGUUUCCAGUUUUCAGAUGAAGAGGUAUACCUUUAGGUUUUGAGAUGAAGAAGGCAGCUUCCAUGAUGAUCAAGACUUGCUAAGGAAAUCCUUAUUAUACAAUAAAUAUGAGGAGUAUACAUGUAAACUUACAUUGAUAUAUUAAUGUGGCAUAUUGGGGUGAAUUUCAAAUAGCACCUUUUUUUAUGAAUGAAUGAUAUACCGAUACAUGUUGGGGGUAUUUCAAAUAUCUAUAUCAUGUAAACGAUUAAUUCAUGAUAUUAUAUACUUAUUAGAGAAUAUGUUAAUCUA